ACCUGAGCUCUGGCUCAUAUAUCUAUCUAUAUGGCAUUACCAAUUCAUUGAGGCUUCCUGAGCUAGUUCCUAGAACGAGAGGAUUGGAUUUCAUCCUCUUUAGGGUCUCUUCCAACUCUUGGAUAUAUGAUCCUAUGAACACUGCUGAAGGCAUAACCACAUUUGUUGUUUCUUGAUGCCAAUGUACCCAGUGAAGAAGGUUACUUGAGGCAGGAUCCUGUGAGGUCUUUCUGAAUCUCAUUAAAUAAAAGAAUCAGCCAGAAAGUCACUAAUGUAUGUAAUCAAGAACAAAUCACUGGUAAUCUGACACUGUGGUACCACUGUGGUAUCUGUGGUGAUUUGACUCAAAGGAGAACAUUUCUUUUUGAAUAGGAAUUAAACUUCGAUACCAUGUUGGAUGGAGAGUCAGAAGUCUCUAAGAACAUUUCGCAGGAAUUGCAGGAUAAAUUGGGACUUCUAGUUUGCUCCAGUGAAGUCUCUUUUGCUUCAGGGGCCCCAAACCUGGAAGUAUCAGCAUGGGCAGACCUCCUAAAUCCCCCAUUGUCAUGACCUACUGCUCCUCAAACCUCCAAGCCAGUGAAAUUUGCAGGACUCCUCAUAGUAGAAGGAAUAACUUGGGUUUGAACUGAUUUCAGCCUGGAUUUCAAGAAGGAAGACACACUCAAAUGAGGAAGUCUCUUGAAGAAGAGAUGGAGAGGUUCCAAGCUAGCCUGAAGGCCCUGAGGGAGCUGAGAGUCUGAAGGGAGCAUUUCAUUGGAAGAUGUCAGGGGUUAGGUUUGGGGCAGGUAGAGUGGAGGUGUAUGAAAUGCUUUAUCAUAACAUCACAUGAUUCACUCUUGGGGAGAGACUGGGCAGCCUUGCAGGGCACAAAUAGCCCUGUGGAUUCAGAGAGUCCCAAAGCAUUCUCAGCUUCCUGAAGCCCAGUACCUUGGGACCUAACAUUCCUACCAUGAGACCUUUGCUUGCUGUUCUUCUCAUGGCUAUGGUGGCGGUUUUCUGGUGUGAAGCUACUCCCAUGGAUCUGUUUAGGAAGUUCAUCAUAGAUAACAUAAUUUUUCUGAAAGAAAUAAUUCGGGUUGUAUUGGAAAAGAAGGAAUGUGUGAAACAACUAAGUGAAGAACAAAUUAAGUUCCUGAGUGAUUUCAUGGAAAAUUGGAAGAGUAUGGGAAAAUCUUUCUCCUAGGCUAGGAACUUUCUGGAGCCAAAUGACCUUAUUGUCAACCAAGAGCCCACUCACUGUAGAAUGUAGACCUAGAUGUUGCCUGUGACCCUCUGGACUCACACCAAAGCUUCUCCUCAAUAAAUCUAAUGCAAUUCA